rnacentral:rRNA from 1 species
AUUGAACGCUAGCGGGAUGCUUUACACAUGCAAGUCGAACGAGUGGCGGAAGGGUGAGUAAUAUAUCGGAACGUGCCCAGUAGCGGGGGAUAACUACUCGACAGCGAGGAUAAUACAGCAUACUAUUGGAGAGGCCGAGAUCGGAUUAGCUAGUUGGGUGGGUACAGGCUCACCAAGGCAAAGAUCCGUAGCUGGUUUGAGAGGACGACGAGCCACACUGGGACUGAGAAACGGGCCCGACUCCUACGGGAGGCAGCAGUGGGGAAUUUUGGACAAUUGGGGGAACCCUGAUCCAGCCAUCCCGCGUGUAUGAGAAGGCCUUCGGGUUGUAAAGUACUUUUGGCAGAGAAGCGGUAUCUGCAGAAUAAGCACCGGCUAACUACGUGCCAGCAGCCGCGGUAAUUC